GUCCACUCGGCGGCGGACCAGAGCCAUAAGCCUGUCAUGGCCAUGGCUGCAGCCGGCCGAUAUUGCGUCGUCAUGACGCCCAGGCCGGCUGC
rnacentral:sRNA from 1 species